rnacentral:rRNA from 1 species
GAUGAACGCUGGCGGCGUGCCUAAUACAUGCAAGUCGAGCGAACAGACGAGGAGCUUGCUCCUCUGACGUUAGCGGCGGACGGGUGAGUAACACGUGGAUAACCUACCUAUAAGACUGGGAUAACUUCGGGAAACCGGAGCUAAUACCGGAUAAUAUAUUGAACCGCAUGGUUCAAUAGUGAAAGACGGUUUUGCUGUCACUUAUAGAUGGAUCCGCGCUGCAUUAGCUAGUUGGUAAGGUAACGGCUUACCAAGGCAACGAUGCGUAGCCGACCUGAGAGGGUGAUCGGCCACACUGGAACUGAGACACGGUCCAGACUCCUACGGGAGGCAGCAGUAGGGAAUCUUCCGCAAUGGGCGAAAGCCUGACGGAGCAACGCCGCGUGAGUGAUGAAGGCCUUCGGAUCGUAAAACUCUGUUAUUAGGGAAGAACAAAUGUGUAAGUAACUGUGCACGUCUUGACGGUACCUAAUCAGAAAGCCACGGCUAACUACGUG